AUUGAACGCUGGCGGCAUGCCUUACACAUGCAAGUCGAACGGCAGCACGGGAGCAAUCCUGGUGGCGGGUGGCGAACGGGUGAGUAAUAUAUCGGAACGUGCCCAGUCGUGGGGGAUAACGUAGCGAAAGCUACGCUAAUACCGCAUACGAUCUAUGGAUGAAAGCGGGGGAUCGCAAGACCUCGCGCGAUUGGAGCGGCCGAUAUCAGAUUAGGUAGUUGGUGGGGUAAAAGCCUACCAAGCCUUCGAUCUGUAGCUGGUCUGAGAGGACGACCAGCCACACUGGAACUGAGACACGGUCCAGACUCCUACGGGAGGCAGCAGUGGGGAAUUUUGGACAAUGGGCGCAAGCCUGAUCCAGCAAUGCCGCGUGCAGGAUG
rnacentral:rRNA from 1 species